CUUGAUAAACGAAGCUCAGCUGUUGUCCAAAUAUGUAGAUAAUACUCAACAAUUUGCUUUCUAUAUAUUUACUGAUGUAUAUAUUAUCAUAUCACUGAAUUCUCUUAUACCCGAAAGAAACCAGUUUGCUGCUCUCAUGCCAAUACUCGGUACUCUCAUGCUCUUUUCAAGCCUCAGCGCGCUGAUAUUUGCCCAUUUGUCCCACAGUACAUCAAAACAAACUCACCUGGUGAGCAGCGCUUUGCACUACGGAUUGGCUUAAAAUAGCCACUAGGGUGGUUACUCAGGCUGGCUUACAGAUGUAGGCUAACUGUGCGGCCGGUAAGAGGCGCAAUAACUGAUCAGCGCUCUGACACUCUGCUACGUUUAAAAAUAUCGCUUCGUUCUCUGAUAAUUGCUAUUGCUGUUGUUGUCAGGUCACUCUCGCUCUCUACUGUGGUUAAAAUUAAAAUACUCGUAUAUGUUUCACCUGUAUAAAAAAUCGAAAUGGUGAGCAACAACAACGCACAACAACAACGGCGGACAGCAGAAGCGACCGUUUUGAGUCAACGCGAAGAAGAAGUAACAAAGCAAUAACAACAACAGCGCACAUGAUACGAGUAUAUGCUUUAGUCAGCCAGCCAUGCAGGCGAGUGUAUGUGUGUCAGUAUGUACAUUUACUAUAUGUGUGUUGACGGCAGGUAAGCAGGUAAGCAAAGGCAAAAGGCAACAGCAACACAGCGCUGCGAGGUUCGUCUGCGGCAAAGCACUGCUGUCCAAUCAGUCUGAACUCGGUUACCGACAACGAUGAAACAUACGGCGGCGCUUGAGUGACUUACUAUUCGGCUUUAGUUGGACUCGUUGGUUGGUUCUUCUUCGCAUUUCGUUCAUUUCCUGAUCGCGUCGCGUACACCUUCGACGCGCUUACCUCGCCAAUACAUCGACCACCACUCCAAGCACAGGGGCGACAAUUGGUCGUACGUCCCCACGAAUUUCCAACUUUUAAUGAAAUAUUUUUUGUGUGAUUUUCGAAAUUUCGCAUUGACAUUCCACAAGCGCUUUCGGUGUCUGCAGCGCCUGCAAGCCGUCGCGUUUAAGUAAAAAGAAAAAUAUUAAUUAAUUGCAACAACAAUUCGCAUGAUUCGCAUGAAUGCCUGCGAAAGUAAAGAAAGUGAGUUAUCUGAUUGCUGAAGGGGGAAAGAAAUCUUAAGGAAAUAUUUACCCAAAGCAAAUGCAAUGAAUUGUGCAAAGUGACAAAGUAAACGCAGGAAGUUGGAUGCGAAUUUGUGUGGCGCUGUGCUUUGCGUGGGCGAGCUUGAGCAGGCAGACUCCGAGCCGUCGCUAAACGGCCGCCAAGAGAAAAGCAAAUAUUUGCGGACCAAAAUAAAAUACUUCGGCGCGUCUAAGUUGUUUUUAUGGAAAAUUAUUGAAAUUGAAAUACACUAAUUAUGUUGACAGCAACAAAUCAACAAAGCGAGGCACGAAUUAUCGAAAAUCCGACGCGCUAAACAGUAAUAAUUUCUUGUAAAUAAUUGUUUUCCCCACAGCGAUUGUGCUUUAAUAGUGCCUACUGACCAACAAACGUUUAUAUGCAUGUGUGUAUUAAAUUUUUUGACAUAACAGCGUUAAGUGAUCUGAAAAACGCCAAGAUUUUUAAAAUAAACAAAUGUAUUUUUAAGUGAUCAAGUGCCUUUCGCAUAUGCCUUUUAAAAAAAAUUUAUUUUAUAAAAGUAAAAUUAAACGCAGUGGCAACUUUGGUGUUUAUAUAAUUGAAAUAUUCAAUAAAAAUACAAAAUAAAUAAUAAAAUAAAGAUACAUAGAAUAAAUUUUACUGAUAAAUUUGUCAAAGUGGCAGCUUGCUGCUGCGACGCCGCUCAAAAGCAAACGUAACGGAGUUUUCAGAAAAGUGUUUUAAAUGCAUACGGAUAUCAUAAUUGGCGAUCAAUUUGUGCCAUCAACAAAUUAUUGGGUAAUGCAGGUAUGUACACGUUAAACGUUUCAUUAAAGUCAUCUCUGAAGAUUCUACAACCUAACAAAGUAUGUGAGUAAUAUUGAAAAAAAAAAAUGGCACACAGCUGAGAAUUUAUAGCAUUGCCAUUCUUCUUGCUUGCAGCAAUCUAAGUUAGAAAGCAAAAACAAUUGGCUAAAAUUAGCUACAAUCGAUAAUUUGAAUAUACUUGCAACAUAUCUAAGAUAUAUGUGCGGAACAGUUGUUUUUUCGCAACUAAAAUUUAGACACCAAAUUGGCAACUAUGCACAGAGAAGCACAACACCCCCUCAGGGUAAUUAACAUAUGCGCACGAUUUUCAAAACCAAUAACAGUUGCAAUAAAGCAUUUACACACACAAAAAUUGCGCAGGCAAUAACAAGAAAAUAAUGAUAAUAAAUUAGUAGACAUGCGAAUUGCAAUUCUCCAAAUGCUGUACGUGUUGGCGGGCACCAGCGCGACCCCAACCCCAGCCAUGGCAGCGGUCAGUCAGAUGACGAACACAGCGACGAUCGUCGUGAUGGCCAACAGCGAAUUGCAGCAAAUUGUUGUAAUCCAACGGAAAACAAGUGAAACAAAAAUUAAAAAAAAAAAUAAAAAAAAAGAUUAAA